rnacentral:rRNA from 1 species
CUUGGUGGUUAUAGCGUUAAUGUCCCACCCGAUCCCAUCCCGAACUCGGAAGUGAAAUUUAACAGCGCCGAUGAUAGUAUGAGCUUUUUUCAUGCGAAAGUAGGACGCCGCCUGGC